rnacentral:rRNA from 1 species
AUUGAACGCUGGCGGCAGGCUUAACACAUGCAAGUCGCACGAGUGGCGGACGGGUGAGUAAUGCCUGGGAAACUAUCUGAUGGAGGGGGAUAACUACUGGAAACUGUAGCUAAUACCGCAUACCAUAAGAUGAGCCCAGAUGGGAUUAGCUAGUUGGUGGGGUAACGGCUCACCAAGACGACGCUCUCUAGCUGGUCUGAGAGGAUGACCAGCCACACUGGGACUGAGACACGGCCCAGACGCCGACGGGAGGCAGCAGUGGGGAAUAUUGCGCAAUGGGCGCAAGCCUGAUGCAGCCAUGCCGCGUGAAUGAAGAAGGCCUUCGGGUUGUAAAGUACUUUCGGUAGCGAGGCGUUAACCACAGAAGAAGCACCGGCUAACUCCGUGCCAGCAGCCGCGGUAAUAC